AUUGAACGCUGGCGGCAUGCUUUACACAUGCAAGUCGAACGGUAACAGGCCGCAAGGUGCUGACGAGUGGCGAACGGGUGAGUAAUGCAUCGGAACGUGCCCAGUCGUGGGGGAUAACUACUCGAAAGAGUAGCUAAUACCGCAUACGAUCUAUGGAUUAAAGCGGGGGACCGUAAGGCCUCGCGCGAUUGGAGCUGCCGCUGUCAGAUUAGGUAGUUGGUGGGGUAAAGGCUCACCAAGCCAACGAUCUGUAGCUGGUCUGAGAGGACGACCAGCCACACUGGAACUGAGACACGGCCCAGACUCCUACGGGAGGCAGCAGUGGGGAAUUUUGGACAAUGGGCGCAAGCCUGAUCCAGCAAUGCCGCGUGCAGGAAGAAGGCCUUCGGGUUGUAAACUGCUUCUGUACGGAACGAAACGGCUCUGGUUAAUACCCGGGGCUAAUGACGGUACCGUAAGAAUAAGCACCGGCUAACUACGUG
rnacentral:rRNA from 1 species